UGUCGUCAGCUCGUGUUGUGAAAUGUUGGGUUAAGUCCCGCAACGAGCGCAACCCUUAUCCUUUGUUGCCAGCGGUCCGGCCGGGAACUCAAAGGAGACUGCCAGUGAUAAACUGGAGGAAGGUGGGGAUGACGUCAAGUCAUCAUGGCCCUUACGACCAGGGCUACACACGUGCUACAAUGGCGCAUACAAAGAGAAGCGACCUCGCGAGAGCAAGCGGACCUCAUAAAGUGCGUCGUAGUCCGGAUUGGAGUCUGCAACUCGACUCCAUGAAGUCGGAAUCGCUAGUAAUCGUGGAUCAGAAUGCCACGGUGAAUACGUUCCCGGGCCUUGUACACACCGCCCGUCACACCAUGGGAGUGGGUUGCAAAAGAAGUAGGUAGCUUAACCUUCGGGAGGGCGCUUACCACUUUGUGAUUCAUGACUGGGGUGAAGUCGUAACAAGGUAACCGUAGGGGAACCUGCGGUUGGAUCACCUCCUUAC
rnacentral:rRNA from 1 species